UUAUUCAGCUUUAGAAAAUCCAUUGUUUCAGAGUAGCAGCCGUGUUAGUCUGUAUUCGCAAAAAGAAAAGGAGUACUUGUGGCACCUUGGAGACUGGCAAAUUUGUUGGAGCGUGGGCUUUCGUGAGCUACAGCUCACUUCAAGUGAGCUGUGGCUCACGAAGGCUUGUGCUCUGGUAGAUUUGUUGGUCUCUAGGGUGCCACAAGUACUCCUUUUCUCCUUACAGUGUGUAUGA